UACAGAUCGUGUGAAUCAUCGAAUCUUUGAACGCAAGUUGCGCUCUCAUUUGCGUGGGAGCAUGCCUCUUUCAGUAUCUGUUCCACUCUCACUCGCAGUGCGCUGCGGAGAAUGAGGCUUGUGUUGGUAUCCGCUUGCGGACGCCAACAGCCUUGAAGUGUCCAGUGGAGCUUGUUCUGUUUUGCACCUAGUGCGAAGCAGCCUCUUCACUGAGAAAGCGACGUGGGUAAUCUACCUUGAACGUCUUGCUUUCGUUUGCAGGUGAGCAGGUCCCUUUAUGGGACGAUAAGCGUAGGGUGCGGUCAUUUUCUCCUAACAGAGAAAGUGUCACCGCACCAAACCAAACAAACCAUAUAGAUCUGAAAUGAGGUAAGAGGACCCGCUGAAUUUAAGCAUAUCAAUAAGCGGAGG
rnacentral:rRNA from 1 species